UAUGUAAUUUACCCUAAUACAUAAUACGAGAACAAAAUAAUUAAAUAUUUUCUUAUAUAAUAAUCGGUGGUGAGGUGAGUAGUUGUCAUGUGUCUGUGUCGAAUAGGAAGGCUGGGACCCAGUUGGAGGCUUGGAGCUGCAGUGUUGAUGAGCCAAUAGGAGAGCAUUAUUUAAAAAACUUGGCACAGUAAUUCAUCUAGUUAUACUAUUACUUGUAUCAUCUCUUUGAUAAAAGUGAGGCCUGCCAAUAUAUGUAAAUUCUAUAUUUAUUAAAGAGAUAGUAUAAGUAAUGGUACAACUAGAUAAUAAGAGUAUCAUUUUUGCUGCUAUGUAUUGUUACUCGAGAUUUAAAGUAUGGUUUGUUAAAUUAUAAUUCAAUAUUUUUAGUUUGCGUAAUAAUGUAUCUAGAUGGGUGACGAGUUUACAUUUUAGAGUAUAUUAAUACAUUAGUUAAACAUGUAAUAUAAUGUGAGUAAAUUAGCAACGCUGUUUGAUUCACGCUUAAAAUGGGAGAAAAAAUUCUUUAUGAAAAAUUAGUUUUCUUAACUAUAUGAAGAGGGUUUGACAAAAAAAAAACACUAUAUGAAGAGGGUCACUCAGUACUAUGGUUUAAUAGUAUUCAUCUUCACUUACAAAUAAGAGGUCUUAAGUUUGAAUCUCGUGGAUGGCGAACUUGAUACCAAAUAAGGUUGUCCAUUAUGUGGUUUAAUCGAACUCACCCUCCUCUUAGUGUAAAAUAUAUCGUUGUACUAAAAAAUAAAAAUAAAAAAACUAUAUGAAGAGGGGUGUUGUUAAUUUAAUUCCAUGAAAGCAUGAAACUCGAAUCAGGUCCGGUUGGAGAUUUAUGCAAAACGCGUCCUCCCAAGUUUGUUUAUAUUUCUUUCUUUUCUUUUCCUAAUUAGAUUUAAUUGAAUAAUUAACACCCAUUUAUGCAGAAAAUCGAACUUUAAGGAAAGACAGACUGCAGAUACAAGGAAUAAUUAAUGGCGCCCAUUGCAACGGGAAAGAGCUUAAUUAGCUUCCUUUCAACAUGAAUUUCUUCUUCUUGUUUUAGAAGUAUUUUUCUAAAUAUCUUUCCCUUUUUAUGUGGGAAAAUAUAGCUUUUCCGUUUUAUUCAAAGGAAAACUAAUAAAAAUGGCUUGAAAACUUUGAGUUUUAAUGAUAAGGACAAAAUAAAGGGUAAAGCGAAUAGUACCAUGAUUGACUUUUUAGUGUAAAAAUGUGGUUUUUCGUUAAAGUGAACAGUACCGGGAGCUUUUUAUUAAAGUUCCCUUUAUUCAAAGGACUAUUUCUUGUAUAAUUUGAGAGGUUCAUGCAUUACAAUUAGGUCUGGCAAACGGGUCGUGUCAGU
rnacentral:lncRNA from 1 species